rnacentral:lncRNA from 1 species
AUUCUAUGGAAAUUUAUCCCUUUCCGAACACAAUGUAUAAAAAAAAUUAAUCAACGUAUGGUUGCCGGUGAUCUCAAAAGAUCAUUGGAUGAUUGUAAGGGUCAUGACUUCUUUAUCUAACUGGAUGAAUCAAAAUUUGCUAACAGGGUUUAGUUCAAUAAUCGUAGCAGCUACGUAGCUGCUAUCAAUAUAUAUGUAACAACUAGUAUAUAGCUACACGUUCAAUAGUGAAAAUCUACGUAGCACUACACGUAACCGCUACGAUAUUGAACGCAGCCCAGGUGUUAAUGAAACUGACAACUUCGUGGAAUUUGAAAGGCACUCGAAGGGGAUUUUCGUUUAACAAAAAAAAGAAAAUUUAUUUUUUAAUCAUUAGAGAAACAGAUUCUUACAUAGUUACUCGUGGAUUAUAGGA